UUUUUUUUUUUUUUUUUUUUUUUUUGCAAAAUAACAAAGUCCCGGGAAAGGAAAAAAAAUAAUAAGGCGAGGCAAAGAGUAGAAGGGGUGUAAGGCCGAGCCGACGAGCAGCCUGAGCUACAGCUCGAAGAUGAAAAAAGAUUUUAAAGCCUCUGAUCCAGCAAGAAGAGUUUAAAGCAAUUGCUGAGUUUUAUAGCACUCGUGACGUCAGGCCCAAAUGGGAAAUUGACUGGCACUCCGGGCCAAUGAGAGGCGGCGAGAGCGGCCGCGAUUAGCAUAAUAGUAUAGAAACAAGGAAACUUUUCGGAGCUGUCAAUCAGGGCCCAAUCAGCUGACUGUCAGCUGGGACUGGCCGGGUUAACCCUUCCAGCGCCGCCGCUCCCAGGAGCAAAGAAGGGGGGGGUGCGGGGGACGGAGCGGGCCCGGGCGCAAAGUUUAGUGCGAGAGCGAGAGGAGUUUUCCCGAGGGGCGGCUGCCAGUGGAGGGCCCGGAGGAAGUGGAUUGCCCUCGCCUCUCGCUUUCUUUCCCUCCUCUCCGCACCUUCAGCACCCCAGGUGUCUGCCCUGGGACCUCCCCUUCCCCGCGCCCAGCUUCGAACUUGGCCCAACUCUUUGUCCCCGUCCGGGUGCCAGGCGCUGGGGUCGCGUGAGCCUGGCUUUGCCCCUGUCCCGCGGCCGGCGUGGGGUCCGCGGAGGGAGAAAGCCUCGCAGAAAGGGAAAGGAGGAGAAACGGGGCGCUGCGAGCCCUGCGGAGCGAGCCGGGCUUAGAUCGAUCCUUUUAAAGCUGUGAAAAGUGAAAGAAAAAGAAACGAGAAAGAAAAAGAAAAAGACCAGCAACUAUUUUCUAAGAUUUUAAAGCGAUAGGCGAGUCGGAGGAACCGAGAUUUAUUUGGGCGAAGGCAAGAUUGCACGAAGCCGAUCCAGUUUUUGGAAGACCAACCCACCUGCUUGGAAAUUGGGACUGUUGAUUCCUCCAGUUAACGUAAUAUGUUCGGUGUUAAUCGUAUUUAUUUUAUUUUAUGGAGGGGGGAGGACGCUAGGAGGGUGCACUGAAAAAAAAAACAAAAAACAAAAAACAAAACAAACUGAGAAGAUCGAAGUGGGAACUAUUGUUGGACCGAGUCGGUUUUUACCUCAACAGCGCCACCUUUCGGCAAAGGGCUCUUCCUUGCACGAAAUUCUGGUUGUGGACAAGAGAUGUGAGAAAGCUAGAAGUUUUCUGGGAAGCUGUGCCAGAUUUCACCCAGAUCUGACUCCUUCAUUUAUCUGACAAACUCCCAGCAUGGCCUGGCAGACAGGAGGCUCUGAUUUAAUAAAUAGUUUGGGGGAUACAUGAACAUUGGAAUUAAAGGGCCUCUGUGGUCUUCAGAAGUAGACAGAGAUGUAAAACCAAGGGGCCUCUCUUCCCGGAUUGCCACCUUUUUUCUAUUUCCCCUUUCCUUUUGCAGGGCAUAGCUGUCUGCUUCAGCUUAGACUUUUCGUUCCCUUCAACUAAGGACUGACUGUGACUUGCUUUUCCAUCCUCAUAGCUUGUGAUCCCAUGCACAGCUCAUGCCAGUGAGGGAAUUUAUCUCCAAAGCAUUUGUCCUUUCAAAGAUUUUACUGUCAUUGACUCAGAACUGCUCUUAAGCAAAGCAAAAGAGAAAGGAAAGAAAAGAAAAGAAAAGAAAAGAAAAGAAAAGAAAAGAAAAGAAAGAAAAGAAAAGAAAAGGAGCCUGAUAUCAGGAGAAGCUUUUCUAGGUGGUGUCUUUUAUGCCUGAUAACUCAGAGGACACAGGUUGGGUGGUGGUGCUGGCCCUGAAGUUUUGUCCCCUCCCUUCCUGCUCCUGGUGAGGGGGACUCGGUAGCUGUUGCUCCACAAUGGUUGAGCAGCCAUUCAACUUGGGAAAGAAACGCAGUUCUAAAAAGCACAGAGCAAACUUUCUCCACAGAAAUUCUUCUGUAGUUAUGGGGAAAGGAUGCCGAAGCAGGUGUUUUCUGGAUUUGUGAGUUUCUGGAUUUGUUUGGCCUGGGCCUAAGGGAGAGGGGGGAAAAGGGGUGUCUUCCAGCUUUGUUUUACAUUGCAGUUCUCAUUUGCCUCCUGGGUGUGGCUGAGCUCUCUCAGGCGUUGUUCUGUGCAUUGAAAAUACCAGACAUAGCCAGAAUGCCCUCACAGCAGCCCCAAGGCAGCAGAGCAUUCCCAAUCAGGAUCUGCUGAAGGACAGGAAGUGAGGCCAACACCUCCACCCACCCCAAAUAAAUAUCAAGGUCAGAUAUAGCCCUUGUGAUAAGCUUUUUUAUUUAGCGAUGCUGUAACAGUGAUAUACGUCCUUUGUUGAAUGUGAGUGCCUAGACAAGACAGAAAUGGGAAGUGUUAUCAAAGGACGACACCAGUCCUCAUUCGGACUUUUCAAACAGAUACAGCAGACACAGUGUCCUGGGCCAUGGAAACAUUUUAACUUCUUUUAAUAUCAGAAGAAGAGAAAGCACAAGUUCCCUUUCACUAUAUCACCACUGUCAUAAAAUAU